rnacentral:lncRNA from 1 species
AUUGUGGCCGCCCAGUGGCCUCCCCCCCCCAAGCCUUCCCUCGCCUCCCCCCAUCUAGUCUCCCUGCUCUGGCCCAUCUGAGUUUAAUGACAGGACAAGCCUCAUCUUAUCAAGCACAGAAACCACUUGUGCGCCAGGAUCAAUGGCGCCUUUAUUGGCACCGAAGGGCUGACAUUUCCCCCCAGCACAACUCUGUCACGAGGCACAUCUGUCAGGUGCUCCCGGUGGGAAAGCAGGAAGCGGCCCAUUCAAGAACUGGGAGCCACACUGAGCCAGCAGAUGGAGGCCAGGACAGAUGACAGCCCAGGAACAGAGAGAUGGGCACCCAGAGGAGCAGGGGGGCCAGCGUUCUCACUGGAAGCUCCCUCCAAGUCCCAAGGCAUGGGCUCGUCCUUGGUGCACUUCUUGGACUAGUGGCUACGGACUUUUCUUCUCCUGGCCCAGAAGAACAUCCUCAAAUAUGGGCGGAUCCAAGGGUGGAAACAUUCCCUGCCAACUUGGAUGGCUACGCAAUCUCAGAGUGGGAGAGGCGCUGCAGGCCUGCAAGCUUGGAGCUCCUCCUGAGGCAGCCCCUCCCGCACUGGGACUGUGCUCACGGAGCAAAUUUGUUCUGGCUGAAGCCUAAAUCAGUCUGGUUGUGCCCUCUGGGACCAGUGGCCCAAGGCUCAUCCCCCAUCCGCUUGUCUCUCUCACCUCUGUCACAUGUCUGGUGGAUUUCACUUCUCCAGCAUCCAAUUGCAUCUCUGUAGCAUCUCUCACUAAUUUCUCCUCUGUGUCAUCUCUUGUCUCUUUCAUCUCUGUAACAUGUCUGGUGGAUUUCACUUCUCCAGCAUCCAAUUGCAUCUCUGUAGCAUCUCUCACUAAUUUCUCCUCUGUGUCAUCUCUUGUCUCUUUCAUCUCUGUCACAUGUCUGGUGGAUUUCACUUCUCCAGCAUCUCUGUAGCAUCUCUCAUCUCCUCUGUGGCAUCUCUCAUUGAUUCUACCUCUGCACCCUCUGCCCAAUAUGCCCUUUUUGCUCUUUACUUUGCCCCCACCCUGACCUUCAGCACCUCAUGCCUCAUUGUAGUAGCUGCUGGUGGGUCUGCCUCCCUCAGGUGUCUUUCCACUCCAUUUCAUCCUUUUUUAGCCACCAAAGUGAUUUUUCUAAAAUGCAGGUCUGACCAUGUCAUCCCCCUCAUUUUUCAACAGCCUCCAGUGGCUCCCUGUUACUCCCAGGAUCAGAUACUAAAUGCUCCGCUUGGCCUUCAAAGCCCUUCAUAGCCUGCCCCCUCCUCCAUUUCCAGGUUUUUUACACCUCACCCCUGGAGCAGGUGGGCUCCCGCUUGCUAGCUCCCUUUUGUUAAUCCUCUGGAUGGUUUUG